rnacentral:rRNA from 1 species
UACGUAGGGGGCUAGCGUUGUCCGGAAUCAUUGGGCGUAAAGAGCGUGUAGGCGGCUCGGUAAGUCCGCUGUGAAAGUCCAGGGCUCAACCCUGGAAUGCCGGUGGAAACUGUCGGGCUAGAGUCCGGAAGAGGCGAGUGGAAUUCCUGGUGUAGCGGUGAAAUGCGCAGAUAUCAGGAGGAACACCAAUGGCGAAGGCAGGUCUCUGGGCUGACACUGACGCUCAUGCACGAAAGCGUGGGGAGCAAACAGG